UGAGAUGGAACCAGAAUCUGCUUUGACGCCAGACUCAUCAGGAACCUCAGAAAGUGUAUCACAGAACUACCAUUUAGCUAUUAUUGGCCCCCCUCCACCUAUAAGGCCACCUCCUCAUCAUCCACCUCAUCCACCAGGUAAGAAGUUCAAUUUAGUUCAUUUAAAGAGAUUAAGUUGGAAAGGAACCACUUUCUGCAUCUAACAAACUCUCACUGCUCUUUAGGUCACCUGUCACAGCCACACCACUCUCAUAGAGGGGGAGGUAGACCCUGGGAGAGGUACGACCUGCCUGUGGGCUUUCUGAUCUAUUAAAAGUUUGUAUUGUAAUGUGUCCGUCUCACAAUGGUGUCCCUCUCUUUGUGUCAGGUUUUACAGAGGCAGAGGGGACCACCCCCCCACUCACCUCCAUACAGCUCCACCUCCACCUAUUCCUCCAGUGUAUCCAGCUCCGUCCAUGUACCCGCCCCCACCGCAGCCCUACCCCCCUCCGUACACCCCUGGGCCUGGCCUUCUCCCUCCUGUCAUGGGUUACCAGCCCCAGCCUGUGUAUGUCCCUGGACCACCAGGGCUCAACCCUCCCUGGGUUCCCCCUGGUACCCAGCCCCCUCUUAUGCCUCUUCCCCCCCUCCCUCAGCCCCCUCUCUCUAAAGAAGAUUUCUACAGACAGCGACACCGACAGGACAAAGUUACAUCCAAACUGGAUGAAUUUACUAAAGACUUCCACAAAGAGCUUAUGAAGUACAGAAAUGCACCAAAGAGACGAAGACCAUCUUAUUCGAGAUCAGCGGUCAUACAGUCGCUCUCCAUUCAGCCGCUCUCCCUACUCUCGCUCUAGAUCAAGAUCCAGGUCUUACUCUUAUUCUCCCAGUCGAUCCCGUUCACGCUCCCAUGGCCGGUCCUAUCCCCGCUCCCCUUAUUCAAGACGCAAUGGACGUAGUUAUGGACGCUCACGAUCACGGUCCCGCUCUCGUUCAAGGUCUUAUGGGUAUCGGCGCUCUGGCUCACCACGGUCUCCUCCCCCUUUCCGGCCAGGAGGCUGGGAGGGAGCAGAAGGAGCUGCACCCUACAGGUCACGGUCUCGCUCCCCUGGCCCUCCUGGCCCUCCUGGCUUUCGGCCCCGCAGCCCUGGUGGACGAAAGCCGCCUCCUCGGGAGCUCCCACCAUACGAACUGAAGGGUCCAAGUCCCGGUGGCAAUGAGCGCUGGGAAAGAGAAAGAUAUCGACAGUGGGAAAAGGAGUAUGAAGACUGGUACAACAAGUACUACAAAGGCUAUGACAACCAACAUCCCUCACUGCAUCACAGAGGUCGUGGCAGCAGAGACCGGGAGAGGGACAGAAUGUCCCCAUUAUCUAGAGAUUACUCCCCCCAAGGGAGAGGAAGAAGAGGGCGAGAAGAGAGGGGUGCUCCCCCUCACCAUCCUCAAUCCUCUUCCUCAUCGGGGAACAAGUCCAGCACUAAACUCCUCAAGACAAAGAAAGUAAAAAAGAGGAGAACUGGGGAGGAAUCGGAGUCAUCACAUCAGUCGGUAGACAGAGGUGAUGCUACUCCUGUCAGAGACGAACCAAUGGACGAAAUCCCUUCACUCGUCAAAACGCCUCCCAUGUCCUCAAAGGCUUCAGUUGGAGCCACGUCCUCUAAAGCUCCAGCCUCUAAAAGCACUGCUCCACCUGUCAAACCCUCAACCAAGUCAACAUCAAAGACUCAGUCUGAUAAGACGAAGAAAGACAAGGGUCAAAAGGUAAAAGCUAAAGUUAAGACGGAGGGCGUGAAGGUCAAGAGUGACAAGGUGAAGAAAAAGACUGUAGAAGGAAUCGUGACCAAAAAGAGAGACUCGUCCUCUUCCUCCUCUUCUACCACGAAACCUUUGAAGACAAUUAAAACCAAACCAGAAGAUGCCCCCAACCCAACUACCCCUAAAAAGGAUAAGGGUAAAAGUUCUGCAGUAAGGCCUGCCCUGCUUAAGACCCCUCCACUGUCCUCACAGAACCUUUCUCUGCAUCAUCAUCCCUCUCUUCAUGACGGCCCGCGACCCAGCCACGACAUCCGGGGGAGAAGAGAUCUUCCACAGGGCGGUGGUCUCCUUCCCCUCCCCCAUCCACACGGACUCCCACUCCUCCACCGACCUUCCUCCCCCGACAGUCGGCGGAGGAUGGGAGAGGAGGGCCGCUCUUUACUCGGACCUCCUCCUGGAAAGCUGAGGAGAAUGGAUGGGCUAGGGGGUGGCGUUGAUGUCAUCGGCCACUCUCACAUGUCUCAUCAGCCCCCGCUCCACAGACUCCCACCUCCCUCAGACAGGCCCGGUCUUCUUCCCAUACCAGGGAGCCGUGAGAUGGGUCGGGGAGACGCAGAUCGAGGAUCCAUCCGACCUCUAAUGGACCUUCAGGUGAAGCCACUGACACAGAGGAGGAUCAAGUUGAACAGAGACCUGGGGAGAAAAGGCAGCACUGAGACGGCUCCUUCAGACAGAACACCGUCAGGUCCCGAGAAGACGACCUCCGCCUCGGAUCGAUCAGCUGCUGCUAACCACUCUGAAGGAGACCGACCCAGCAGUGCAGCAGAAGGUGCUGGAAGAAAGGAGCGGUCUGCAUCUGUAGAGAGGGGGAUCUCCAGAGAGAGACCAGGGAGUGCUGGAGAGAGACGGCAGAGCUCAGACAGAGAGCAGAGCAGAAGCUCGGGACUGGACAGAGAGCGAGACAGAGCUUCAGGAUCAGACAGAGACAGAGGCAUGGUGUCUGACAGAGAUCGGGAAAGGGUCUCAAGCUCACAGAAGAUGGCAGUUACAGUGGAGAGAGACCCUGAAGGAGAGAGGUCGGGGAGGACGGAGCGGAAGAAUUCCAGUGCAGCAGGGAGGUCUGUCUCUCUGGAUAAAAUGACCAUUGCAGAGAAAUCGUCUACCUCCAAGAGCUCGACAGACCCUCAGGAGAAGCCAAGCAUAUCCUCCAAGGAGAGGGCCGAAGGGUCAGAACGAUCGGCUAAAUCUGACAGGAGUGUGUCAAAGGACAGAACAGAGAAGAGUGUCCCUGCCGCAGAGAAACCAGCUGCUGCUCACCGAGAAGCAGUGAAAGACGACGAGGAGUCUGGUGGGAAGAGCAAAUCCAAGAUCAGCCGAAAGGUUCUGACGAGCCACACCGUGCCCUCCACUAGGUCAAAUCAAGAAACAAAGCGAGACUCGGACAAAGAUCAGAAGAGUGUAUCCUCCAAACCUGCAGAGCAGCCCCCAUCUAGUCCUGUGAACAGCCGUGGCCGCAGCCCGAGCGUCAGCCCCGCACCCAGCCCGGCCAGGGAGGAGCCACUCAUUCAGCCUCCUCCUCGCUCCAAGUGGGAGAGAGAAGAUGACGAGGAAGGCCAGGAAAACGGACUUAAUGCACCCAAGGAGCCCUCACCGGUGCCACAUAGGAGCCGAGGCAGAGAGGGGCAGACUGAAGCACCUAAACCUGUCCGGGGUGAAGGCCAGGAUGCUACAAGGGAGGAGAGGAGAGGUGUAGUGAGAGAAGAGAAGAAAGGGAGAGCACCGAGGGAGGAGGGUAAAGGUGGGAGGACGGCACAGACGAAUUCUGACAAACCAACCAAAAUAAAACUUGUGAGGGAGGAGGGGAGAGGAGGAAGAGGAAGAGAGGAAGGGAGAGCUGCCGCAAGAGAGGAGGGGAGAGGUGGAGGAAGAGAUGAGGGGCGAGGAGUGACGGGGAAGGAGGAGAGAGCGGCAGAAGGCAGAGGUGGAGGAGGACGCGAGGAGAGUCGUGGACCAGAGCCCAGGAGACAGCGCUUGUGUUCAGACCUGGGUCGUGAGACGGACGAGGCGGCUUUUGUGCCCGACUACAGCGAAGGCGAGGGCUCAGACAUGGAGAGAGGAAGGAGUGGCAGCCCCAGUCAGUCCCUCAGCCAACCCUCCACCCCCACCCUGAGCAACCACAGCGGCUCUGUGGCAACCAUCACCACGGGUGACAAGAAGAAGAAGAAACACAAGAAGCAUAAAAAACACAAGAAGCACAAGAAGCACACCGCCCAGGACAAAGAAGCAGAACAAAAGGAGCACAAGCACAAACACAAGAAGAAGAAACACAAAAAGAACAAAGACAAAGAUGUGGAGGAAGAGGAGGAGGAGGAGGAGAAGAUUGAGAAGAUUGAGAAGAUGGAGAAGAUGGAGAAAAUGGAGAAAGUAGUGGAAGGGGCUCCAUGCUAACAGGGGCUAGGCUAAGACUGUGGCCCAAAGUCUGUAACCUUCUUUGUUAAUAAGGAGAUAAUGAUGCGUCUGGAAAUAUCGGCUAACACUGGCAUGCUGCUCCAUGUGCCACUCUGAGGGAAAUGGAUGAAACAAGUCUUUGUCCAUGACUCUGGAGGGCUGUCUGGCUGUUACUCACUGCAGCAUUAUGACCGCUGCUGUGGUUUCUUCAAUGUUCAAUGUGAGACUCUUCUUUGUGACUGGGUCAGGCAAAACUCCAGAGUGACGCUGUGCUCUGCACUAUUGUGAUCAACCUAGAGCCAGCCAGAAAGGACUUUAUGGUAAUAACUGAUCACCGGGCAGUGAAUCUAAAUGAUAGGGAUGACAAACACUGUACUCAGGGAUGUGAUUGCUUCUUUGUAGAGGAGGAAUUGCUCUUUCUCUUUCUCUGAUUCAUUUGUAAAUAGAGAUGAACUGUUGCUUCACAUAAUAAUAAUUUUCCCUGUUUGUUUUGCUCACAUCCCUGUGUGCUGUUCAAGGCUGAAUAACCUUCAUUGCGAUGAGGGCAAUUGUUAGCUCUUUUUUUUUUUUUAAGGACUGUGCUUGUGGUUUUGCAUGUUUUAGCACAUUAAGAACAAAUCAUUACUUUCCAUUACUGCCGACCAUUUUCAAGCUCGACGGUCUCAUUUCAGACAGCCAGUGGUUUCUCUUUUGGUUCUCUAACUGAUGUAAAUUUAAAAUAAAGCCAAUGAAACGUUCUUUGAUAGGCUACCUAUCUAUGCGAGGUUAAUUCACUGUAAGUUGAUUUUCUUACCAAACGUAACAUUGAAUUCCAGUAGUUCUCUUUGGACAUGGUUAGCAUUAUAUUAUUUGUGAUGAUUGUGCUAAAACCGACGCAAUCCCCAGUAUGGUUCUUUUAAGUUAAAACAAACCUUUACGUAGCCAUGCUACACUGGAUUGUAUAAAUCUAGGAUGUGUUUAUUAAUAAUGUCAAAUCAGUCGGCAUGUUUUUGUUCCAAAGGUGCAGUAGCUGUCUAUCACGUUGUCUGAGUGAAUGUGUUGGUGUGAAAGUGAAAUAUGACAGAAGUGGGGCAAAUUGGAGGACUGGUGUUCUUACAAAUGACUUGUUACUUUUUUUUUUUUUAAUUAAAAAUGUUUUGACCUCAUGAAAUUGUCUUGAGUUGUUUUUUUUUUAAUCAAUGAUGGAACACCUUGUUGUGUAAUGACCACACACAUGAAG
ensembl:lncRNA